CCCCUCCUUUCCUCCCGCCACAAGCGCUCGCUGUGGUUCUGGCAGCGAAGUGCGAGACUGGGCUCGCCAGGCGGAAGUGGUUGGAGACUGCGUGUUUUCCUAGAAAGUCCUCGACCUUCGUCGGGGAGAGGAGGGGAGUGAUAAAUUGGAAGGCGGACAAGCGACAAGUGCGGUACUGGAAAGACCCAAACAUACUUGGUUGUGACCUCAGGACUCAAUAAAAUAAACAGCUGGAAAUAAGCAGACUAGUGUAAGAGUGAAUUGAAAAGAAAACCCAAGGUCACAUCUCCCAAGAAGCAGUAAUGUUCCAGCAAUAAGAAAAGGACAGUUUUUUGUCUUUUGCAUGGUGAGCCUUAUAUGAAUUACAUCAAUUUUGUCACCAAUAUCCAUCAUCAGAACAUUUUGCCUACUCACUGUGAAGACAAUAAGGAUGAAGACCUUUAUGACAAUCCACUUCCACUUAAUGAAUAAUGAGGAAACUGGGGCACAGAGAAAUUAAGUGACUUGUCCAGGAGGACAGGGCCAAUAACCGGUGGAACCAUAAGAAAAAAAUCCAGUAACAGCUUUGAAAAAGGAAGAUAACAAUGACCUGUGUGUACAGCGUCCAAGGGAACCAUUAGCAGUGGAGCUCCCCAGGCUCCUGGGACGACCAAGCACAUGGUCCAACCAACCAUCUUCUGACAAGGUAGGGGUGGGCAGUGGAAGGCAAAAAGAAUGGCUGCACUUGUGUUUCUGAAGGUCAGACCAAGAAACCAAGGAGCGUGUCUUUGUUAUUUCAAAUCUAUAGCCUUUGAAGUCCCAGCAGGUAAGUGGGUGAGUCUCAUAUACAGCUCAGGAACUCCUUUCUCCUCUGUACCUCCUUAGAGAUAUAGGGCUAAGACAGCCCAGGUGUUAGCCUGUCCAAGCCCUUCAUUUGCAAAGGAGGAAACUGAUGGGCAGAGGACAACACAAACUGCCCAAAGUCACACUGGUAGAUGGCAUUUGGGCCAGGAUGAGACUUUCUUUUUUUUUUUUUUUUUGAGACGGAGUCUCGCUCUGUCACCAAGCUGGAGUACAGUGGCACAAUCUCGGCUCACUGCAACCUCCUCCACCUCCUGGGUUCAAGCGAUUCUCCUGCCUCAGCCUCCCGAGUAGCUGGGAUUACAGGCACCCACCACCACACCCAGCUAAUUUUUGUAUUUUUAGUAGAGACGGGGUUUUACCAUGUUGGCCAGGAUGGUCUCUAUCUCCUGACCUCAGGUGAUCCACCCGCCUCGGCCUCCCAAAGUUUGGGAUUACAGGCGUGAGCCAUUGCACCCGGCCAGCAGCAUGAGACUUUCUAACCCAGCUUUCUUUUCCCAAUCUUAAGCAGCCCAUCUGGGGCUAUGUGACUGACCGCUAAAACUGCCUCUGAUUCCACAUUUUGAUUUUUGCUCCCAUAAGCACUGUUCACAGUUUUCCCCCUCAUAUUACUUCUGUAACAACCUUGAGGUGGUCAAGGAAAAGAAAAAACACCAUCCACAUUCCUAGGCAUUUUAAGGAAAUGCACACCAGGUAUCUGACCCAGACUCCUACUUCCCUGCCAAUCUCCAGCUCAUAUCAAUUCAUUUCCCUAACAGAAAAUAGGUGUCAACUUUGUAGGUGGAAAGUAAUUUCCCUGCAAAUAUUACCGGAGAGGUUGCUGACACUACUUGACAGUUUUAUUAUUACUUUUGUUUUGCAGUAAGGUGGGGGAACUCUACCUUUGCCAGGUAGAAUACUGAAAAAAAAAAUGUAGAGCUUUUAACUUUGUAUUAGUUUUAACAUCGGAGGGGAAAACAAGAAACAAAGAAUAUGUGUGCUGUCCGCAUGCCCAGUACGGCUAAGGGCAACCUCACAGGCUCCUGGCUUACCUCACUUCUCACCCGCGAACUUUCAGAUCCUGGAGCUUCAGUGUGGGUUAGAGGGAAUUACUCCGCAGCAUCUGAAAAGCCAGCUCACAGGUGGGCCGCUGGGGCGAUUUGGCAGGGCCUGCUUGUAAACACUGGCUAUCAACUCCUUUACAAGGUAAGCCAACCAGGGGCAAGUUAACUCGCUUUACUCUUCUCCGGGUUUAAUAGAAGGUGGGUAUACUUUUAUAAGAACCCAAUAAUCUAAAUAUUUCACACGUAGACAAGAAAACUAGAAAGCCCCAAGAGAACCGAAAGAGUAUUUUAUUAAUAACUAUUUAUGUGUAGUAGCUACUUAAAUUCAUGUUUCACUACCUAUUUUUUUUUUUUUUAGACGGAGUCUCACUCUGUUGUCCAGGCUGGAGUGCAGUGGCGCAUCCUGGCUCACUGCAAGCUCCACCUCCCGGAUUCACGCCAUUCUCCUGCCUCAGCCUCCCAAGUAGCUGGGACUACAGGAACCUGCCACUACACCCAGGUAAUUUUUUUCUAUUUUUAGUAGAGACGGGGGUUUCACCGUGUUAGCCAGGAUGGUCUCGAUCUCCUGACCUCGUGAUCUGCCCGCCUCGGCCUCCCAAAGUGCUGGGAUUACAUGCAUGAGCCACUGCGCCCGGCCUCACUACCUAUGUAUUUUCUAAAGGGUCAGAUAGACUUAGGUGUAGGUUGGCCCGAGAAAAUGCAGGGUUCCCAGUUAAAUUUGAAUUUCAAAUACACAAUGAAUAAUUUUUUAGUAUAUUCCAAAUAAUGAUAGGGCAUACUUUUAUUCAUUGUUCAUCGACACUGAGUCCAUUAACCAGCUGGUUUAUUUAUUUAUUAUUAUUUUUCCCCUUGCUUCAUUCUUUUCUGACCUUCUGUGGCUUAAUUUUAGGACUCCUAUUAGAGGGUGGAGGGAGAAAUACAACUCACACGCAUCGGGUGUCCUACUUAUCAUUAGCUGAGGCACAAGUUUUGGGAGGGGAGGGAUUUGCUACUUUGAGCUAAAAAUGGUGAUUAUCUGCAUUCUCUCUAUUACCAUAUGGACAGAAUUAGCCAUAGACUGAUAUUUUCCAGAGACUGGAUUUUGCAGGCCAGUAAAAUCCAAAAAGAAAAGAAAAGAAAAGGAAAUUGGGAAAUUGUGAGAAGAUCAAUAUACUGUUGCCAAGUUUAAAUUUGAUCAAAAAAGGGUGUUUAAAAAAACCCCACAGCUACCAUCUUCAAUUACCAUUAAUUCAUAAAAGAAAGCAACAUUUCAAUACCCCAAAAGUAGGAAGGACACUCUCUUCUUUAUUUCUUAAAUAAAGUUGGCAGCUUUACAAUGGAUUGCCCUCAUUUUUGUGGAAACUUCAUCACAAUCUGGUGCUGGCUCUGAGAUCUGAGAAUAUGCAGACCAGGUCAUGCCACAGCAGCACCUAUAAAGUGACAGCAGCAAUGCUGCACUUUUCACAGGUUUGUGUUGGUAGCAGAUAACCACAGAGCACCUUGCAGUAAAGGAAGGAGAAGGUGAACGUGUGCCAGUUCGAAUUCUGAUGAUCUUAAAUUAAUAUUUAAUUUAAGCAUUUUAUUUCUGAGAUGUAUAUUAUUUGUGUGGAAGCAUAGUGUGAUUUUUCUCAAACCACAAAGCAUUUCUUUAACUUAUAAUAUAUAGAAAACGUUUUUCCAAACUUCCUUUGGAGCACAGCUCAAUCUCUGAACUUUUCUUCCCUAUCUCUAUAAAAUGAAUGCUUCAGGAACUGGAUAAUGUGACGCUGAACUUAAAUAGCCCCCUUCCUAAGAGAGUUCAGAGGUCUUUGAAAAUACAGGUAAUUGAGCCUCCUGGUUCCUGAGAGCUGGCAGAAUGUGUGACCUCAGCUGAGAAGAGUUGGGUAUUUGCCAAAAGGCAGGUGUAGUUGGUAGCAGUGCUCAGAGACCAAGUCCCCAAGUUCAGAUUUUCUAUCCCUCUUCCCAUUGUAUACAAGGGAAAACUAUGGUGUGAAAGUGGAUGAUUGCCUGAAAUUGCUGAGUAAUUAAAAGGAACCAUGAUGAAAAUAAACUGCCCAGCCCAAAUAUCAUAUGUAGUUUCUUUUAUCUUCCUCCAACCUGAGAAAUGUAUAUAAAGGUAUUUUUACCAGGGAAAUCCUUCUUUAAAUAGGGUUGAAACUCAAUUUCAUAUGCUGCAGAGAGAUGCAAGGUAUUAUGUACCAAUGAUCCCUAAAUAUUCUUUUCUUCUUCACAUGGCUGUGAAGUUACAAACUGAGUAUCCUUUUCAACGGCUUGUUGAAGCAAAGAAUUAAAUAUACAUGUACAGACUAAAAUAUAUGUUAGUAUAUUCUUUAGAAAUAUGAAGAAUACCCCCAGCUUUUCACAGUGAUAAUCUCUGGGUGGGGUCUUUUUAAUAUUAUGUUUUUCUGUAAUGAUGGAGUUUUAAAAUAAUUGUAAUUGUCUAUUACUUUUAGAAUACGUAAAAAAGAUACACAGCAUGCACAUUCUCAUUAAAAAUCACUUCAACCUGGACUUUUGGGAUGUCCUUUAAAGUCACCUAGUACUUGCACUUUCCCACAGUCCUCUGUCCAGCCUCUCUCAGUGACCUGAGACAUUCAGUGCCACUUGUGUAUUCCAGACAUUUGUCUUUCUGAGAGAAGCAGUGCUACCACUUUUUUUUUUUUUUUCUUUUUUUUGAGCCAGAGUCUCGCUCUGUUGCCAGGCUGGAGCACUGAGACACAAUCUCGGCUCACUGCAACCUCCCCCUCCCGGGUUCAAGCGAUUCUCCUGCCUCAGCCUCUGGAGUAGCUGGGACUACAGGCGCCCGCCACCACGCCCGGCUAAUUUUUGUGUUUUUAGUAGAGACAGGGUUUCACCAUGUUGGCCAGGCUGGUCUCAAUCUCUUGAGCUCGUGAUCCACCUGCCUUGGCGUUCCAAAGUGCUGGGAUUACAAGCUUGAGCCACCGCACCUGGCCCACUUUUUUACCUUCUCAAAACCCCAACUCUCCUGUAAUUCCUGAAGCCCAGGUAAUUUUCCCCCUAGCCCCAUUGAAUACUGGCUUGUUUUCAUUUCUCUCUCUUUGUCUUUUGCCUUACUAAUUCUGAUGUGAUUGUUUUUUCAGCCUCAACUGAAUAGCAGAGAGAUUUUGGCUUUCAUUCCAGAAUGAUGUCUCACAGAAAGUCAACUCGUGUUCCAGGUAUGUGAUAAACAUCUCACUAGUGAACUUCUUGCUGUUUCUAAGCGAUUAACGGUUUGGUUAGCAAGCCCAGAGCCCUGCAGAUACCUUUUGCCUCCUACACAAGAAGUAAGCUAAUGAAACCCACGGAGCACGGCCUGCCCCUCUGCUUCCCUUUAAUGGUUUCUGUCACCCAGGCCAGGCUGCCGCCACCAUGACUCUGCACAUCGAUGUGCCGCCUCAGGGCAAGCAGAAUGCAAAUGACGGUGGCCCUCAAAUUGCAAUUUAAGGAUAGCUGUUAUAUCUUCCCAUAUAUUUCUCUUCCUAACCUCCAAAUUUGAGGAUAAUGUGCUGUUUUAACUUAUUCUUAGUAGGAAGAAUGUUAAACCUUAGGGUGAUGGUAGUGUAUUGCUGAAUUCUGUGUUUUGGAAUAAAUUAGAUUUUUUUGAUGUGGAGAAGGGAGAAAGGGGGAGAACUAAAUGCAAAGAUAAUUUGAUUUUAAAAGCUGGAGUUUCCUGGUUCCUGGGUUCUAGAUAUUUAAAAAAUAGCCACAAUUAAUUAUGUAAUAAAUUGUAGGAGGUUGUCAAGUUGUCAUCUUUAUUAAGGUGUUUCUUGCCAGACAUAUUCAAAAUCUGUGUACUCAGAUGUUAACUGCAUUUGACUCUAUUGAUUAAAAUAUACUUUCUGCCAUCAAAAUGGAACUCCAAGAUGUAAAGGGAAAGAACACUUUAAAAGGCGUUUCCAAAGUCGUCUUGGAUAGAGGAGCUUUCAUCCAAGGGUGCUAUGUGGCAUUCCGGAAAUGAAUCAGAGACUUGGGCCCUCCACUUCCUUAGAAACAGAGACACGCUGAAGAUCGUUAGGGUAAAUGAGUGGGACAAAGUACACUCUGCAUUUUCUUUUUAAUUUCAACUAAAAAAAAUGCUGCACUCUUGUCUUGGCUGGAGAAACAUCCUCAGCCUGUUCAUCUCCUAUCCUCUGCCCAAAUCAACUCCAAAUUUGACUGACUGAAUUUUCAGUUCCUAUAUUUUCAGAUCAGUUCCUGUAUUUUCAGAUCUGGCUCUCUCUGUGGUUGUGGUGGUAGCAGUGGUAGUGGUUAUGGAGUCUGUAAGACUUGCCAUUUUUAAAAUGCCGAAAGCUCUCUUCAGGUUAAAUAGUCUCUCUGUGUGAUUCUCAAAUGAACUCCUUGAGGAAGAAUGUUCUGUGUGUAUCUAGAAACCUUAGUUCUACAAGAAUGAGAGCUAAAGAAGCUCACCCAUGUCCCACAGAAACCACUUCUUCCCUUUCCUGAACAAGAAACCGAUGUUCUUCAUCUACUGUCUGUCCACCCAGGCUUGGAAGACAGGUGAAAACAAUCCCAUCUUUCUAUUCCUAGAAAGAGGUAGGGAUGUGAUGCUUACAUUCCCCUGGCUUUUACUUGCAUCAAAUGUGGGAGGAAGGAAUAAAAGAGAAGAGGAAACUAAAACCUGAGAAAGGGCAAGAAGAGAAAGUAUUAGGUUGAUGCAAAAGUAAUUGUGGUUUUUGCAAUUACUUUUAAUAGCGAAUCCCCGCCCCCCAAAAUCAUCUAGCAAUCUGCCCUCUGGAGUGAACUUGAAUAAAAGUAGGUAAUAGUACCACUCUUGGCUUAGAAGUAUCUGAUUAUCCCUACUAACCAGUACAAGACAUAGAUUUCUGAAGGAAAAGGAUGCCUACCAUUGGCUCUUUUUUGUUUUUGUAGUUUGAUUUUUCUUAUUUUUUAAAAGGUUCUAAAAAUAAUACAUAUAUACCUGGUAGAAAAUUUGAAACUUAGAAAGAAGUUAAAAGAAGCCUACAAAAUAUCACCGCAUCAUAUUAUCUUAUUAGCCAAAUGCAACCACCACUACCAUCCAGGGAGGGUUCUUGCCAGUAUUUUCUCUAUUUUUUCGUAUGCUUUUAAAAAUCUUCACAACUAAAAUCAUUCUGUGCACAGAAUUUCACAUACUACUUUU
rnacentral:lncRNA from 1 species